GCUCCGGUAGCUCAGUUGGAUAGAGUAAUGGACUUCGAAUCCAGGGGUCGUAGGUUCGAAUCCUACCCGGAGCG
rnacentral:tRNA from 1 species